AGUGAACGCUGGCGGUAGGCCUAACACAUGCAAGUCGAACGGCAGCACAGUAAGAGCUUGCUCUUACGGGUGGCGAGUGGCGGACGGGUGAGGAAUACAUCGGAAUCUACUUUUUCAUGGGGGAUAACGUAGGGAAACUUACGCUAAUACCGCAUACGACCUACGGGUGAAAGCAGGGGAUCUUCGGACCUUGCGCGAUUGAAUGAGCCGAUGUCGGAUUAGCUAGUUGGCGGGGUAAAGGCCCACCAAGGCGACGAUCCGUAGCUGGUCUGAGAGGAUGAUCAGCCACACUGGAACUGAGACACGGUCCAGACUCCUACGGGAGGCAGCAGUGGGGAAUAUUGGACAAUGGGCGCAAGCCUGAUCCAGCCAUACCGCGUGGGUGAAGAAGGCCUUCGGGUUGUAAAGCCCUUUUGUUGGGAAAGAAAAGCAGCAGGUUAACACCCCGCUGUUCUGACGGUACCCAAAGAAUAAGCACCGGCUAACUUCGU
rnacentral:rRNA from 1 species